rnacentral:rRNA from 1 species
UACGGAGGGGACUAGCGUUGUUCGGAAUUACUGGGCGUAAAGCGCACGUAGGCGGAUUUGUUAGUCAGGGGGUGAAAUCCCGAGGCUCAACCUCGGAACUGCCUUUGAUACUGCAAAUCUCGAGUCCGGAAGAGGUGAGUGGAAUUCCUAGUGUAGAGGUGAAAUUCGUAGAUAUUAGGAAGAACACCAGUGGCGAAGGCGGCUCACUGGUCCGGUACUGACGCUGAGGUGCGAAAGCGUGGGGAGCAAACAGGG